rnacentral:sRNA from 1 species
CUCCCUGGAUUCCAGGUCGAGGCCUGAUGAGUGAGGCCAGAAGCCGGGAAGCACCGCAGAAGUAGAAGCCGGGGAGCCACAGCCUGUGUCCUCGGAAAAGGCAGGCACUGGGAGGGAGGCCAUUGAGCCCGGCACUAGCCGGUGUGGGUGAGCCCCGGUUGGGGGGGGAUAGGUGGGGUUGGGGCGGGGAGGCUGGCCUGGCUUGACUCCUUCCUUCUCUUUGCAGCUCCCUGCUGUGGUCUGGAGGAAGCAGCUGCCUGGGUUGGUGGGAUUGGAAUGAAGGGCUUCUGGUUUGCAGGGAUCAAGGGUCCAGGGUCCCUGAGGUUGGGUCAGGACCCUCAAGGGGGCAACUGGGGCUUGGGAGGGAGACAGGGCGAGAUAUAGAGUGGCCCCUGUCCGGGAAGACGUGUCCGGGCCCCAGGCAGGGGCAGCCAGCCUGAGGAGGGUGGCUGGUUAGGCGGCGCUCACACCUAGAUGGGCUGCGAAGGUCAUAGACCUGUCCUACAGUAAUGGAGACACCUGUAGCGCAUGUCACCCUCCACUGCAGCAGCCGGAA